UCUGCAGAGGCCAGGCUGAGGCCAGGCCGGGCCAGCGGAAAAAGCAGCUAAAUAAUUGACACAAGAAAGCAAAGCCGCAAAUUUGCCGAGCAGCAGCAGCAGAAAAAAAAUGUGUCAUCCUAUAAAUGUUUGUGCCGAUGGUCAGCCUCAUAAAGUGGUCUAAGCUGCAGCCAGGCUUCGAGGGGACCGAUCUACAAUGAUUCCACAUGGGCGGGUGAAGUUCUUGGAAGUUGGAAGACGAAGGCCAAAGAGUCAGGAUACAGCAGCAACAAGGCUGUCAGUGUGCUAUCGGACCGAAAGAGUGUUUGUGGAAUCGUAAAAGGGGAACUACUACAGCGGUUCUCGUCAUAAUGCAUUCCACAAAUAUCAAAGUCAUGCAACAUAAGUCCUGUCAUAAUUCGACGAAUUUGCAUAGCCACAUGUCAGAAGCAGACGCUGACCAGGAACUCGACGGUUUGCAUGUAAUUAAAAUGCUGCGAAAUUAUACAUUAGAUUUCUAAACUUGCCUACAUCCGAUGGCUAAACAAUGGCCUCCAAACAUCUGCCAGAGCGAUGCACCUGAACACGAGCAACAAAACAAAACAAAACACAGUAGAACUGGAGCAAGACCAACAACCAUUGGCACUCCGAGCAGACAGUGCUAAGAGGUCGCAUGGCUGGGCUUGGUUAGCCAAGCCAACCAGCCAUUUCCUGUUGCACAAUUUUAAGCCAGCGCACACAGACGAGUCCAUAUCGCAUAUACGAGCCAUGAUUUUGCAAGUAUGUUCUAGAGAUGUGAAGGCGCUGAGCCGAAGUAUGAUAUUAUAUUCCAAGUAAGAGAUUGCAGAAUUGACACUCAAUCUAGUAAAUGUGCAGAGGCCUGAAUUGCCAA